rnacentral:rRNA from 1 species
AGAGUUUGAUCCUGGCUCAGGAUGAACGCUGGCGGCGUGCCUAAUACAUGCAAGUCGAGCGAACGGACGAGAAGCUUGCUUCUCUGAUGUUAGCGGCGGACGGGGGGGUAACACGUGGAUAACCUACCUAUAAGACUGGGAUAACUUCGGGAAACCGGAGCUAAUACCGGAUAAUAUUUUGAACCGCAUGGUUCAAAAGUGAAAGACGGUCUUGCUGUCACUUAUAGAUGGAUCCGCGCUGCAUUAGCUAGUUGGUAAGGUAACGGCUUACCAAGGCAACGAUGCAUAGCCGACCUGAGAGGGUGAUCGGCCACACUGGAACUGAGACACGGUCCAGACUCCUACGGGAGGCAGCAGUAGGGAAUCUUCCGCAAUGGGCGAAAGCCUGACGGAGCAACGCCGCGUGAGUGAUGAAGGUCUUCGGAUCGUAAAACUCUGUUAUUAGGGAAGAACAUAUGUGUAAGUAACUGUGCACAUCUUGACGGUACCUAAUCAGAAAGCCACGGCUAACUACGUGCCAGCAGCCGCGGUAAUACGUAGGUGGCAAGCGUUAUCCGGAAUUAUUGGGCGUAAAGCGCGCGUAGGCGGUUUUUUAAGUCUGAUGUGAAAGCCCACGGCUCAACCGUGGAGGGUCAUUGGAAACUGGAAAACUUGAGUGCAGAAGAGGAAAGUGGAAUUCCAUGUGUAGCGGUGAAAUGCGCAGAGAUAUGGAGGAACACCAGUGGCGAAGGCGACUUUCUGGUCUGUAACUGACGCUGAUGUGCGAAAGCGUGGGGAUCAAACAGGAUUAGAUACCCUGGUAGUCCACGCCGUAAACGAUGAGUGCUAAGUGUUAGGGGGUUUCCGCCCCUUAGUGCUGCAGCUAACGCAUUAAGCACUCCGCCUGGGGAGUACGACCGCAAGGUUGAAACUCAAAGGAAUUGACGGGGACCCGCACAAGCGGUGGAGCAUGUGGUUUAAUUCGAAGCAACGCGAAGAACCUUACCAAAUCUUGACAUCCUUUGACAACUCUAGAGAUAGAGCCUUCCCCUUCGGGGGACAAAGUGACAGGUGGUGCAUGGUUGUCGUCAGCUCGUGUCGUGAGAUGUUGGGUUAAGUCCCGCAACGAGCGCAACCCUUAAGCUUAGUUGCCAUCAUUAAGUUGGGCACUCUAAGUUGACUGCCGGUGACAAACCGGAGGAAGGUGGGGAUGACGUCAAAUCAUCAUGCCCCUUAUGAUUUGGGCUACACACGUGCUACAAUGGACAAUACAAAGGGCAGCGAAACCGCGAGGUCAAGCAAAUCCCAUAAAGUUGUUCUCAGUUCGGAUUGUAGUCUGCAACUCGACUACAUGAAGCUGGAAUCGCUAGUAAUCGUAGAUCAGCAUGCUACGGUGAAUACGUUCCCGGGUCUUGUACACACCGCCCGUCACACCACGAGAGUUUGUAACACCCGAAGCCGGUGGAGUAACCUUUUAGGAGCUAGCCGUCGAAGGUGGGACAAAUGAUUGGGGUGAAGUCGUAACAGGUAGCCGUAUCGGAAGGUGCGGCUG